rnacentral:rRNA from 1 species
UACGUAGGGUGCGAGCGUUAAUCGGGAUUACUGGGCGUAAAGCGUGCGCAGGCGGCGCGUUAAGACAGGUGUGAAAGCCCCGAGCUUAACUUGGGAAUUGCGCUUGUGACUGGCGUGCUGGAGUGUGGCAGAGGGAGGUGGAAUUCCACGUGUAGCAGUGAAAUGCGUAGAGAUGUGGAGGAACACCGAUGGCGAAGGCAGCCUCCUGGGCCAGCACUGACGCUCAUGCACGAAAGCGUGGGGAGCAAACAGG